AAAAAUGACUAUAUAUAUGAGAAUAAAAAUUUAUUUAACCUUUUAUUUAAUAUUUUUAAAGAAAAAUGAGAAUACAAGAGUUAUUUAUAAAUUUAAAAAGACAUUGAUAUAUGUCUGGCCUAUACCAAGACUAUACUCCUACCUUAAAAAUGCUUGCAGCCCAAUAACCCAUGGUUUAAUAACACAUAGUUCAAUAAUGCACUACCCAAUAACAAGCCAUUAAAAUCAAGAGGUAGUUC
rnacentral:lncRNA from 1 species